rnacentral:tRNA from 1 species
CGGGGCGUAGCGCAGCCUGGUUAGCGCGUCGCGUUUGGGACGCGAAGGUCGCCGGUUCGAAUCCGGCCGCCCCGA